rnacentral:misc_RNA from 1 species
CUGAGUUUACGCUCUACAACCCUUUGUGAACAUACCUAUAACUGUUGCUUCGGCGGGCAGGGUCUCCGUGACCCUCCCGGCCUCCCGCCCCCGGGCGGGUCGGCGCCCGCCGGAGGAUAACCAAACUCUGAUUUAACGACGUUUCUUCUGAGUGGUACAAGCAAAUAAUCA